rfam:Triticum aestivum genome assembly, contig: Triticum_aestivum_CS42_TGACv1_scaffold_569953_7AS
UAAGUACUCCCUCCGUCCGAAAAUACUUGUCAUCAAAAUGAAUAAAAGGGGAUGUAUCUAGUCCUAGAUACAUCCCCUUUUAUUCAUUUUGAUGACAAGUAUUUUCGGACGGAGGGAGUACCAA